rnacentral:rRNA from 1 species
GACGAACGCUGGCGGCGUGCUUAACACAUGCAAGUCGAACGGUAAGGCCCUCCGGGGUACACGAGUGGCGAACGGUGAGUAACACGUGGGUGAUCUGCCCUGCACUUCGGGAUAAGCCUGGGAAACUGGGUCUAAUACCGGAUAGGACUCCUGGCUUCAUGGUUGGGGGUGGAAAGCUUUUGCGGUGUGGGAUGGGCCCGCGGCCUAUCAGCUUGUUGGUGGGGUAAUGGCCUACCCAGGCGACGACGGGUAGCAGGCCUGAGAGGGUGACCGGUCUCACUGGGACUGAGAUACGGCCCAGACUCCUACGGGAGGCAGCAGUGGGGAAUAUUGCACAAUGGGCGCAAGCCUGAUGCAGCGACGCCGCGUGAGGGAUGACAGCCUUCGGGUUGUAAACCUCUUUCAGCUAUGACGAAGCGCUAGUGACGGUAGUAGCAGAAGAAGGACCGGCCAACUACGUGCCAGCCGCCGCCGUAAAAC